CCUACGGGUGGCAGCAGUAGGGAAUUUUGCGCAAUGGGCGAAAGCCUGACGCAGCAACGCCGCGUGAUCGAGACGCCCUUCGGGGUGUAAAGAUCGGUCAGUGGGGACGAAACUUGACGGUACCCACAGAGGAAGCACCGGCUAACUCCGUGCCAGCAGCCGCGGUAAUACGGGGGGUGCAAGCGUUGUCCGGAAUCAUUGGGCGUAAAGCGUUCGUAGGCGGCACGUAAAGUCUGGUGUUAAAGGCAGAGGCUCAACUUCUGUACGGCACUGGAUACUUGCCAGCUAGAAUGUGGUAGCGGUAAAGGGAAUGCCUGGUGUAGCGGUGAAAUGCUUAGAGAUCAGGAGGAACACCGGUGGCGUAGGCGCUUUACCAGGCUGUAACUGACGCUGAGGAACGAAAGCGAGGGUAGCAAAUGGGAUUAGAUACCCGAGUAGUC
rnacentral:rRNA from 1 species